rnacentral:rRNA from 1 species
GAUGAACGCUGGCGGCGUGCCUAAUACAUGCAAGUCGAGCGAACAGACGAGGAGCUUGCUCCUCUGACGUUAGCGGCGGACGGGUGAGUAACACGUGGAUAACCUACCUAUAAGACUGGGAUAACUUCGGGAAACCGGAGCUAAUACCGGAUAAUAUAUUGGACCGCAUGGUUCAAUAGUGAAAGACGGUUUUGCUGUCACUUAUAGAUGGAUCCGCGCCGCAUUAGCUAGUUGGUAAGGGAACGGCUUACCAAGGCGACGAUGCGUAGCCGACCUGAGAGGGUGAUCGGCCACACUGGAACUGAGACACGGUCCAGACUCCUACGGGAGGCAGCAGUAGGGAAUCUUCCGCAAUGGGCGGAAGCCUGACGGAGCAACGCCGCGUGAGUGAUGAAGGUCUUCGGAUCGUAAAACUCUGUUAUUAGGGAAGAACAAAUGUGUAAGUAACUCUGGACGUCUUGACGGUACCUAAUCAAAAAGCCACGGCUAACUACGUG